rnacentral:rRNA from 1 species
GACGAACGCUGGCGGCGUGCUUAAUACAUGCAAGUCGACUUGCUUUUGAUUAGCAAUAGUCAAAAGAGAGUGGCGCACGGGUGAGUAACACGUAGAUAAUCUACCUCAGGACUGACAUAAUGUAGAGAAAUCUGCACUAAUAUCAGAUGAAACAAAAUCCUGGCAUCAGAGAUUUUGUCAAAGUUUUAACGCCUGAAGAUGAGUCUGCGGUCCAUUAGGUAGUUGGCGGUUUAACAGACCACCAAGCCGACGAUGGAUAGCUGGGUCUGAGAGGAUGAUCAGCCACACUGGAACUGAGACACGGUCCAGACUCCUACGGGAGGCAGCAGUGAGGAAUAUUGGCUCAAUGGGAGAAAUACCUGAAGCAGCAACGCCGCGUGGAGGAUGAAGGGCUUUC